rnacentral:misc_RNA from 1 species
GAUGAAGAACGUAGCGAAAUGCGAUAAGUAGUGUGAAUUGCAGAAUUCAGUGAAUCAUCGAAUCUUUGAACGCACAUUGCGCCCGCCAGUAUUCUGGCGGGCAUGCCUGUUCGAGCGUCAUUACAACCCUCAGGCCCCCGGGCCUGGCGUUGGGGAUCGGCGAGGCGCCCCCCGCGGGCACGCGCCGUCCCCCAAAUACAGUGGCGGUCCCGCCGCAGCUUCCAUUGCGUAGUAGCUAACACCUCGCAACUGGAGAGCGGCGCGGCCAUGCCGUAAAACACCCAACUUCUGAAUGUUGACCUCGAAUCAGGUAGGAAUACCCGCUGAACUUAAGCAUAUCAAUAAGCGGAGGA